rnacentral:tRNA from 1 species
AGGGUAAUAGCUCAGUGGUAGAGUUUAUGCUCAGCAUGCACCAGGUCCUGGGUUCAAUUCCCAGUGCCUCCA